CUGCUUAUGCUAAAACACAGUUUAUUGUUACCACAAGGAAUAAAAUAAGCUAAGACUUUGUCCAAUUUCAGAAACUAAAAAUGGUUACAAACUUGUAAUAUGAAAAUAUUUGCAGACACCAAUGGCAGAUAUUCACAAAACUUUGAAUUGGCUUUUACUCAUAAAAAUGAUUCCUAACCCAAUUAUCUAACAGGCUAAUAAUACAUUCACUAAUCUAGUAGAACAAAAAAUAAGAGUUCCCCUGCACAAGGGCAGGGAAAAAAGCAAAAAAACGGAAAGUAGGGAGGGGGUUACAAGGAAGGAAGAGACGAUCCUGUACACAUACCUCUAUAUUCGUCUCUUUCCAAAGAAAAUAGUGAAAAUACCCUCUAAAAACAGCGGUAAUAUACAAGACCUGUGAAAUGAAUAAGUAAGCAAUAAUGCCUACCAAUACAAUUUUUCCUAAAUUUUAACAGGACCUACUGAAAACAAUGGAUAUCUAUCUCCAUAUUCCAAAGCCCUCAUGUAUGACCAGCAUCAUCUGCAGACAAACCAUAACAAAAUUGAAGUCUUCUUUUCAUUCAGCCAUGAGAAAUAUAGAUAAAUACAACAUUAAAAAAAAUAAAAAUUGAAGGUCAUAUUCACAAAAAGGAAAAAAGGAUGCACAAUUAAUAGGAACCUCGGAUCCAAUUUCAAGAGUGGAUUUCCUCUAAGAGAAAACAAUAACGGCAUCCCAACAUCGGAUAUGUGCAAUACAUAUUACAAAAGAAUAAAUUUUCAUCAGUGAAUUCUCUAGGAGAAACAAUCACC
rnacentral:lncRNA from 1 species